ACUGGCUGCCAGGGAGGUGGGCACAGGGCCAAGUCUCACGGGCUGGCGCCGGGGGAGCCCUGAGCAGCCUGCACAGCAGGAUGUCCUGGAGGGAACCAGAGCCCCCGCCUGACAGCCUAUCCUGUGCGUCUCCCCUGCCGUCUGAUCCGAUCCGUGGCACCACCUCCGCCUACUUUGCCCCUGAAGCUGAGUAGCACAGGCUUUGUACCAAGGGAGAAGAGAGAAGGACCAAGGAGCAGAUAUGCUGGAAGUCCUGCCUUGUGCCACCUCGAAGGGGCAUAUUCUACUCACCAGGGCAUAAGGCGACCCAGGCAGGUCCAGGGGGAUUUGCUGAUGCAGAGGCCCACCAGGGGGUCUGUGAUGGCAUCCCAGGCUCGGCCCACAAACAGGAUGAUGGAGGCAGAGAAAGGGCCCACCUGGAAUGAGGAGAAGCAAAAGACAACUUCCUCAUCCUUCUACUCGCCUCAACUCUCACUGAGGAGGAAAAGAUGAAAGGCCCAAGGUUCUGGCCUCCAUCCAAGAAGGUUCCACAGGAAGGACCAUCCCUCUGGCCAGCUCUACCAGAACAAACAACUCUGCUUUGACCUGUUCCUAUCCAGGAGAUCCCACCUAAUUUUUUUUUUUCUUUUUUUUUUUGAGACAGAGUCUUGCUCUGUUGCCCAGGCUGGAGUGCAGUGGUGCGAUCUCGGCUCACUGCAAGCUCCGCCUCCUGGGUUCACGCCAUUCUCCUGCCUCAGCCUCCCAAGUAGCUGGGACUACAGGCACCCGCUACCACACCCAGCUAAUUUUUUGUAUUUUAAGUAGAGACGUGGUUUCACCAUGUUAGCCAGCAUGGUCUCGAUCUCCGAGAUCCCACUUUAUACAAAAGAAAGGUGUUCUCCAUUCUUAGGAACAUGGAAAAGGGGAAUCCAUACUUGUGUGAAAGUUGCCCCUAAGCCACCUCCCUCCUGGAGAUUCUAAGGAAACUUAUCAGCCCACCAUCCCUAAAGAACUCCUCCCAAGGCCUCAGGCACUGCUCCUUUCCAGGUUUCAGGGGGAGCAUGCUCCAGCAGCCGACCUGUCCCCACCUGGCACCAGCUGCCGCAACCUGAAAAUCCGCUUGCUGCCAAGAGCUGCCCGAGCCCAGCCCAGGCUCCCACCCUGCCUCAGAGACAGGAUCCACCUGACUACUCCUGGUGAGAGCUCUAGAGAGCUAUGGGGGCCCGGCCCAGCUGGCUGCAGGCGCAGCUGUUCCACCUAUCCCAGAGCAUCCCUGACCACUAUAGGCAGCCAGAGCUUCAGGCGGACUCAGGAACUGUCCUACUCUCCAGCUUCCCGACCCAUCGCCUUCCACCCCCGAGCUCCUAGAGGACCUUGGAGACGGGAGGAAAGGCCUCCAGGUUCAGGCCUGAUCCCUCUCCGGGCGGGGCACUAGGGAGGUUGGGUUGCCCAGGGAAAGUAGAUAUUACUCAUACAUAGUAACAGCAUAAUUGCUCACCCAGCUCCUUCCAAAGAUCAGUUAAUAAAAUUAAAAGGAAAAGGCAGUCACCUCCCA